GCGACAUUCGCUCAGUUGACUCUUUGUAUAGAGCAAAAGGGCGAUACCUUGCCAAGGUAUAGGUAAUCGGUUGUUUAUUUCGAACCCAAUAUGUCGUUCCA
rnacentral:tRNA from 1 species